CGCCUCUGAAUAACGGGGCGUGGUUUUGGUUUAACUGCGUUGGGAAAAAGAAGGCGCAUCUCGCGUCACCUGUAGAAACGUACCAUCUACAUUUCCUGGUUGUAAGAAAACGACAAUAUCCAGAAUUAACAGCGAUUUCAAGACGUAGUACCGCCAGUCGAUUGGAACCACGUAAGAAUAAAAACAAUUCAGCCUCGACCACGCACACAAAUAGUAGUACAGAUCCCAGAGGCCCAUUGGAUGAAAACUAUCAGCCGGGAACAAGCUCAACAUCAUCUGGUUUGGAUGAGGAAAAAGGACUUCAUGAGGCUGGCAAGAGACAAAGUGUUCAGUCUGAGUCCAAGGUCAUACAGCUCAUGAAGUUCUGCCAGACCAGCUGCCAUUGGCCCAACCAACACAAGACGAUGCACACCAGCUGAAGAACAUUCCGGACCCUGUCUGGAACAUUCAGCCAACAAAACAUCUAUAUUGUUGUACUGAUGUUGUAGUAUAAUGUAGAAUACCUAGUAUACCCACAACUGUAAUGUUGAUUUGAGUAGCAGCAGAAACCAAUAAUGUUGACUUCCAAAUUCUGGAUUAAUUCAUUGUGAUAUUUAAGAAAUGUAUUCAGAAGUAACUUGCUACAAUCUUACUGAUGAAAAAAAAAAAAAAAAUGAUACAGAGAGACCAACCAUUGACGUCAUGGUUUGAACACACCCAGCACGCAAACAAAAAAAUCCCAAAUACCUCUCAUCACUCAUAAUUAUUUAGGGAGACUGGGAAAACACUCCAAAUAGUGUCUAGCUGUGAAUGUUACCUUUAAAAUGUCUGUGCUGGG
ensembl:lncRNA